rnacentral:lncRNA from 1 species
UCUGGGAGAAGGGUGAGAAAAAGAAAACUAGUUGCUACUUGAGUGCACCUUCCUACUCUUCAGAAAAUCAGGUUUCCAUGGCUUUAGAGAAGGCUGUGUUAGGCAACUGUGGUGUGUUCUUCCUCAGUUUUCUUUCUACAUUCAGGAAUGGGUUGUGGCCACAUUGCUUUUUUUAGCCUGAGCCCAGCUCCAUCCCCUCUCGAAAGUGCACCAGGAACUGGUAGGAGGAACUGAGCCAAUGAGAACUUCUCUAUGAAACCUCUGCUCCAGACCCCACUUCAUGCCCCACCUGCAGUGGGCUUCUCAGGACCUGGCUCUGAACAGAGAGCUCUCAACACUUUCCCUGGUGGGCAUAACUAUGACUCCAAACAAACCCUUGAAAUAAGAGAGAGGAAAGGCAGGGCAUCUUCUUUGCCAGGCUGUUGGUUUUGAGGCUAUAACUGAGUGACUUUUAGCUCUAGGACCUCAAAUUAAAAUGCAGAUUGCUGGUCCUGAUGUUGAAUUCUGGCAAGCUGGUCUUGUAGUCUUUGCAUUUCCUGCCACUUAGCCUGGCACACCCACAUUGGUAAGGUCCACUGAUGGAGAACUUGGUUGUCUGUGCCUUUCUGACUCCACAGCUGGCAUCUUAUUUCAGAGUGACUCCCUCCCACACGGGAUACAUGUCCCAGGGUCAGCAGCUACAAGGCCAGGCUUUCAUACCCUCACCUCAUGUGCCUUUAGAUAAGACUGACUAUUUAAGGUCAUGGUUAAUGGCUUUAUUGCAUGCAAACUCUUCAGAGAACAGGAUAUGAUACAGCUGGAAGCUGAUUCUGUCGUUGUUGAUCAUACAGAUUACAUGAGAAAUCCCAAUAACUGGGCUGACCUCUUCCACUUUCACUAGUAAUAGUCUUCUCUAGGUUCUGGUAAAUGUAAUAAUUAGCAUAAUUAGCAAAUCUAGCUAAUGCUUUGUUACAAAUGCUUUUGUCGCAAAUGCUUUGUUAUUUUCCUGACACAUCUUUUUGAAAAAUCUAACACAUUUUAGUUGUAAAGAUUAAAGCAAUAUAAUAGAACGGCAUUUUCCAGUCCCAAGUCUCUAACAGAUGAACAGUUUGAUAUAUGUAAGCAUGAUUUUAUGCUUACAUAUAUCAUGUAUUUUAAAAAAUAUAAAUGGGAUCACACUAUAUAUAUAUUUCUCUGCAACUUACCUUAUUAUUUCAUUUUAAGGUAUUGGGACAUUUUCCCAUGUCAAUGUGAUCUCCCUCAUCGUUUAAAAAACAUCUAUAGAGUGUUUUGUGUGUGUGUGUGUCUUUUUGCCAUUUCUUGGGCCGCUCCCGCGGCAUAUGGAGGUUCCCAGGCUAGGGGUCGAAUUGGCGAUGUAGCCACCGGCCUACGCCAGAGCCACAGCAAUGUGGGAUCCGAGCCGCAUCUGCAACCUACAGCACAGCUCAGGGCAACGCCGGAUCCCUAACCUGCUGAGCAAGGCCAGGGAUUGAACCCACAACCUCAUGGUUCCUGGUCGGAUUCGUUAACCACUGAGCCACGACAGGAACUCUAGAGUGUUUUACUAUGUGGCUGGACUAGGAUGUAUUUAUUUAAUUCUCCAUUGAUAGACAUUAGGCUAUUAACAUUCAUUUAUUAUUAUGACCAGUAUUACAAUAAGCACCUUUAUACAGUAUAUCUUCACACAUAUGUCUUAUAAUUUCUUUAGGAUAAAUUGCUAGAAUUAGAAAUAUUAGCUCAAAAGUCAUGUGCAGCAAAAUUUUCAAAUUGUAAAUAGAUUAUCUUCCAGAUGUUGCAACUGGUGUGAGAGUACCUAUUUUGCCAUACUGUUAGAUCAGUGAGUAUCAUCACUUUGAUUACUCUGGGAGAUUUAAGUAAAUCUUGCUCUUAAAAUUUUUUUAUUUCUUUAUUAUUGAAUUUAAGCAGUAUCUUUCCAGAUAAUAGUGGUCAUUUGUGUUUUAUCUAAUUGUUUAAUUUUUGCUCAUUUUUCUUUUGUUUGUUUUUUAACUGAUAGAAAAAAGCACUAAAUAUUUUACAAAUAUUAAACCUUUCUGAUAUAUGUUGAAAAUAUUUUGUAAUACUUCUCAUUAGUUCCUCAUAUUGAAAGAGUUAAAAUUUUACAUACUUCUAUAAAAGCAAAAUUCAAAGUUAAUUUUCUGCUUUAAUGUUUUUUGACUUUGUGACAUGCUUGGAAAAGCCUUUUCACCUCAAAAGUAUGAAACUAUUCUACAUUUUCUUCAAGUAUUUUUAAAUGUAAAAAGAAAAGAACUUACGAAUAUUGUCUUUCAUCAUACACAAAAUAAAUUCCUCCAAAAUGGAUUUAACUCACUUCUUCAGAAAGUAGACAGCCAAUGAUUUCAAUGCUACAUACUUUAAAUAUUAAAAUAUUUUUUAAAACAUUAAAAUGUAAAACAUUAAAAUAUUCCAGUUAUCUUAAAAUUCAUCUUUAUGUUUUAUACUUAAAAACAAAUUAUACAUGUGUGGAUUUUAAUUUAGACCCUAUAUUCUGUUUCACUGAUCUCUUUUUCCAUACUUAAAUCAAAUCCAGAGUGUUUUAAUUUCUGUGGCUUUAAAGUAUGUUUUGAUAUCUGGGAGGGCAGAUUUCCACUCAUUAAUCUGCUUAUGCAUUUAUUCUUCCAAAUAAAAGUUAGAAUCAAUGUAGAUUCCCUAAACAAACAAGCAAAGAUUUCUAUUAGGGCUUUAUUAGAAUUGUGUUAAAUUUAUAAAUUAAUUUGAAAAGAAUUGAAAUUUCUAUGAGAUUGAAUCUUCCUAAACAGAAAUGCAGUAUAGAAAUCGAUUUAUAUAAAUCCGUCAUGUUUUUCAGUAGAUUUUUUUCAUGGAAAUAUUAGGAAAAAAUAAUUGUAAAAAGAUCCUACUUAUUUAUUUAUUUAUUUAUUUUUGUCUUUUUAGGGCUGCAUCUGAGGCACACGGAGGUUCCCAGGCUAGGGGUCAAACUGGAGCUGCAGCCACCAGACUAUACCACAGCCACGGUGACGCCAGAUACAAGCCAGGUCUGCGACCUACACCACAGCUCAUGGCAACAUCGGAUCCUUAACCCAUUGAGCAAGGCCAGGGAUGGAACCCUUAUCCUCAUGGUUCCUAGUCAGAUUUGUUUCCACUGAGCCACAAUGGAAACACAAAAAGAUUCCAUGUAUAAUAGCAAAAAACUAUUGUUGGAGCUUUCUAAAAUAUUUAGAAAUACCUAAACUAUUUCUGACAUAUUCAUGAUUGUUUGAUAUUUAAAUAUUUUUAUUUUAUCUAGACAUCCUUCUAAAUUCUCUCUUAUUAAUUCUAAUUGUUUUUGAGGCAUAAUCAUAUUGCAAACGAUGACCACGUGUCUCUACCUUUCUGAUAUUUCAACCUGCCUUAUUGAAUUUGUUAGGACCUUCACAAAAAUGUGAUAAUAGUAUACAAUUGGUCAUAUUUAUAUUACUUCUGAUGGAGUGUACAACACCAGAGGUAGUGCCAUUUAAGUAUGUGUGUUGUCUGAUGGUAUCUUGUUAAAAUGAGGAAAUUCCUUCUAUAUCUGAUUUUAAAAUUUGUGUAUGUGUAUGUAUAAGUGUGUGUGUAUUUCAUCAAAAAUGACAGUGAAUUUCAUUGACUAUGUAGGUUAUAAUAUAGUAUGGGGGGGUUGCUGUGGGGAAAUAGAGGGGGAGAGAGAAUUUCUUCAAGUAUUUCAGUUAUUGUAUUUUGCAUCUCUUCGUGUUUAAGUUUUAUAUUUUGUAUUUCUUUGCUUAGUGUUUCCUGUAAAUUAUCCAUCUUUGCCUCCAGUUUAUUUCCAAUGUCUUGCAUCAUCUUCAGCAUCAACAGUCCAAAGUCUUUUUCCUGCAGGCUGAGAAUCUCCUGAUCACUUAGCUGUUUUUCUGGGGUUUUGUCUUUCUCCCUCAUCUGAGUUAUAGUUCUCUGUCUUUUCAUUUUUAUAGGUUUUGGUGUGGUGACCUUUUUACAGAUGAUAGAGUUGUAGCCUCUCUUACUUUUGGUAUCUGCCCCCCUUGUGGCUGAAGUUGCUAAGGGGGUGUAGGGGGGAGGCUUGCUGUAGGUUCCCAGAUGGGAGCCUGCCCACUGGUAGGUGGGGCUUUGUCUCUGGGUGAGAUUAGAGGUAGCUGUGUGCCUGGGGGGUCUUUAGGCAGCCUGUUUACUGAUGGGUGGGGCUCUGAUCCCACCUGGAUUGUUGUUUGACCUGGAGCUUCUCAGUGCUGAUAGGUGGGGCCAGAUUUUCCCAAAAUGGCCACCUCCAGAGAAAGGCAUGCUGCUGAGAGCUUUGCCUCCAAUGCCCCUCCCCCACAACAAGCACAUUCACCCCGUUUUCCCAGGAGAUCCAAGGAGAACUGCCGUCAGGUCGACCCAGAUUCCUAUGGAGCCUUUGCUUUGCUCUGGGACCCAGUGCCUAUGAAAGUCUGUGUGCACCUUUCAAGAGUGGGGUCUCCGUUUACCCCGUCCUGUGGAGCUCCUGUGCACAAGCCCCACUUGCCUUCAAUGCCAGAUGCUCCGGGGACUCUUUCUCCCAGUGCCAGAUCCCCAGGCAUGGGGAUUUGACGUGGGGCUCAGAACUCUCACUCCAGCAGGUGAUUCUCUGUGAUACAGUUCCUUUCCAGUCUGUGGGCUUCCCACCGGGAGGGAUGGGGUUGCUUAUAUUGUGUAAUUGCCCCUCCUGCUUCUUGAUGUGGCCUCCUCUUUGUCUUCUGGAGUAGGAUAUUCUUUUGAAAGUUUUCAGUCCAUUUGAUUGACGGUUGCUCAGCAUUUGGUUGUAAUUUUGUGGUUUUCAUGAGAGAAACUGAGCUCCAGUCCUCUUCUUGCGCCAUCUUAACCCCAUCUCCAGAGAAUAUCACAGUAUUAAAAACCAGUUUUUUUUUGUGUUACUGCAUCUUAGAAACUGAGUUUAAACAGAUAAACUCCCUCCAGAUAUGCAUUCUGAGGGGAUCAAAAUACAACUUUGCUUCUUCUUACUCUUGAUAUAGUUUUCGUUUCCUAAUCUGUAAAACACUGUAAAGCACCAUGUAAGAAUAAAGAUGUUAUAAAUUAUAAAAGUUAAAACAUAUAGCCUGUACAACAAAAACAAAACCCAUUUUUUGGAGUUCCUUCAUGGCUCAGCUAGUUAAGGAUCAGGCACUGUCACUGCUGUGGCUUGGGUUGCUGCUGUGUGAGUGUGACUCCUGGCUGCAGAUGCAACCAAGAAUAAAUAAACUUUUUUUU